AUUGAACGCUGGCGGCAGGCCUAACACAUGCAAGUCGAGCGGAGCGGCGGACGGGUGAGUAAGGACUAGUAAUUAACCUGGUAGUGGGGGAUAAAGCACGGAAAGGGGCGCUAAUACCGCAUACUAUCAGAUGAGCCUAGGUCGGAUUAGCUAGCUGGUGGGGGAAAGGCCUACCAAGGUGACGAUCCGUAACUGGUCUGAGAGGAUGAUCCGUCACACUGGGACUGAGACACGGUCCAGACUCCUACGGGAGGCAGCAGUGGGGAAUAUUGGGCAAUGGGCGAAAGCCUGAUCCAGCCAUGCCGCGUGUGUGAAGAAGGUCUUCGGAUUGUAAAGCACUUUAAGUAGGGAGGCGUUAUCUACAGAAUAAGCACCGGCUAACUUCGUGCCAGCAGCCGCGGUAAUAC
rnacentral:rRNA from 1 species